AAAGAAUUAGUUAAAUUAUAACAUUAGAAUGUCAAACUAAAAUUAUUAUCAAUUAAUAUUCUUUA
rnacentral:tRNA from 1 species